GAUGAACGCUGGCGGCGUGCCUAAUACAUGCAAGUCGAGCGAACGGACGAGAAGCUUGCUUCUCUGAUGUUAGCGGCGGACGGGUGAGUAACACGUGGAUAACCUACCUAUAAGACUGGGAUAACUUCGGGAAACCGUAGCUAAUACCGGAUAAUAUUUUGAACCGCAUGGUUCAAAAGUGAAAGACGGUCUUGCUGUCACUUAUAGAUGGAUCCGCGCUGCAUUAGCUAGUUGGUAAGGUAACGGCUUACCAAGGCAACGAUGCAUAGCCGACCUGAGAGAGUGAUCGGCCACACUGGAACUGAGACACGGUCCAGACUCCUACGGGAGGCAGCAGUAGGGAAUCUUCCGCAGUGGGCGAAAGCCUGACGGAGCAACGCCGCGUGAGUGAUGAAGGUCUUCGGAUCGUAAAACUCUGUUAUUAGGGAAGAACAUAUGUGUAAGUAACUGUGCACAUCUUGACGGUACCUAAUCAGAAAGCCACGGCUAACUACGUG
rnacentral:rRNA from 1 species